rnacentral:rRNA from 1 species
CCUACGGGUGGCAGCAGUGGGGAAUAUUGGACAAUGGGGGGAACCCUGAUCCAGCGACGCCGCGUGAGUGAAGAAGUAUUUCGGUAUGUAAAGCUCUAUCAGCAGGGAAGAAAAUGACGGUACCUGACUAAGAAGCCCUGGCUAACUACGUGCCAGCAGCCGCGGUAAUACGUAGGGGGCAAGCGUUAUCCGGAUUUACUGGGUGUAAAGGGAGCGUAGACGGUGCAGCAAGUCUGAUGUGAAAGGUCGGGGCCCAACCCCGGGACUGCAUUGGAAACUGUUGAACUGGAGUAUCGGAGAGGCAGGCGGAAUUCCUAGUGUAGCGGUGAAAUGCGUAGAUAUUAGGAGGAACACCAGUGGCGAAGGCGGCCUGCUGGACGACAACUGACGGUGAGGCGCGAAAGCGUGGGGAGCAAACAGGAUUAGAUACCCCUGUAGUC